rnacentral:rRNA from 1 species
UACGAAGGGGGCUAGCGUUGCUCGGAAUCACUGGGCGUAAAGGGUGCGUAGGCGGGUCUUUAAGUCAGGGGUGAAAUCCUGGAGCUCAACUCCAGAACUGCCUUUGAUACUGGAGAUCGUGAGUACGGGAGAGGUGAGUGGAACUGCGAGUGUAGAGGUGAAAUUCGUAGAUAUUCGCAAGAACACCAGUGGCGAAGGCGGCUCACUGGCCCGUAACUGACGCUGAGGCACGAAAGCGUGGGGAGCAAACAGG